rnacentral:lncRNA from 13 species
UGAUUUACUAGAUGAAGACAGACACAUAUCACCCAUGCCCCUGCCAUUUGAAAUGAUGCCACAUGGGAACCUUGGCAUUCCUGAACCUUAUAGAAGCUGCCCUUGCCCUUCUUUCACUUCCUCCGUUUUGAGGAGAACAAAUCUUCUCUCCUUUGGCAGCUGAGGGUGUGUGGAAGUGACUCAUAUAGGAACCCACUGGUUUUCCAGUAGCAUGAGCACAUCAUUUAAACGAUUUGCCCCCUGCCUCACAUGUAGAUCAGUGACCCUAGAAACUGUCCCAUCAGACUCUUCCGGUUCUCUGACAAUCUGAUAGGUGCUGGGGACACACUGCCUGGAGGUGAGUUGUUUGCCUGGUUUAAGUGGUUCAGCUGAGGAUUUCAACAGAGCUCUGCUGAAUUCCUAUGGCAAUACCAGUAGCCAGUGUUUAAAUAUUCAUACCCCGUGGAGCCAGACGAUACCCAAAAAUGGCACAGCUUUGAGAUGCAUCUUAUUGGGAUCACUGAGAUGCUGUGGCCUGAAUGCCCAUCUAACCAGGAAGAAUUAUAUGCAACAAGAAAGCACAUUCACAAAGUCUGAAGGCUUCCUUGAAUUCGCUGACAAGUAGAGGAAAUGAAAGAUGCGGAAUUUUCCUGACAUCAUUUCAAAUUGCAUCAUUUCAAAACAGUAUGAAGUGUGUGACUAGAAGCAUUACGGAAUACAGAAAAUCAACUUGCAGCAGACUGGCAAUCAGGUUACAUCUAAGUUAAUGGUGGAUUGGGCUAAAUGUGAAUUCCAUUCCACCAGGAAAGAAUGAAUGGACAUUUAGAAAAUGUUUGUGGAACUCUGAAGAGCUUCUGAAAUGUAGACAUUUGUUAUAGUUUACACUGCCACCUGCAGUGUCCGGGGGAACCAGCCUCUCUCAAUCUCCACAGCAUUGUUAUUUAUCACUGCUUGACAUUUUCCGUAAUUUAGAGAUUAAAAAACGGUAUGUCUAAGUUGUUGUAGCUAGAUUUUUUUGUCUUUU